GGCUUUAGGCUCAGUGGUGGGGUACCUGCUUUGCAUGCAGAAGGUCAUAGGUUCAAUCUCUAGCUAGGGUUG